rnacentral:tRNA from 1 species
UCCCUGGGGGUCCAGGGGUUAGAACUCCACACUUCCACUGUGUGGGGCACGGGUUUGAUCCCUGGUCAGGGAA